rnacentral:rRNA from 1 species
GGUCAUUUAGAGGAAGUAAAAGUCGUAACAAGGUUUCCGUAGGUGAACCUGCGGAAGGAUCAUUACCGAAUUGUCAACACGAGUUGUUGCUGGUCCUCAAACGGGGGCACGUGCACGCUCUGUUUACACAUCCACUCACACCUGUGCACCCUCCAUGGUUCUGCAGCCUGGGGGCUCCGUCUCCCUGCUGUGGUUCUAUGUAUUUACAUACACACUGUAGUAAAGUCUCAUGGAAUGCAUACCGCGUUUAACGCAAUAUAAUACAACUUUCAGCAACGGAUCUCUUGGCUCUCGCAUCGAUGAAGAACGCAGCGAAAUGCGAUAAGUAAUGUGAAUUGCAGAAUUCAGUGAAUCAUCGAAUCUUUGAACGCACCUUGCGCCCUUUGGCUAUUCCGAAGGGCAUGCCUGUUUGAGUAUCAUGAACACCUCAACUCUCAUGGCCUUGCCAUGAUGAGCUUGGACUUUGGGGGUCUUGCUGGCCUGUGGUGGUCAGCUCCUCUCAAAUGAAUCAGCUUGCCAGUAUUUGGUGGCAUCACAGGUGUGAUAACUAUCUACGCUUGUGGUUUUCCACCAGGUAACCUUCAGUUGAUGAAGGUUCGCUGGGGCUCAUAAAUGACUCUCCUCAGUGAGGACAGCUCUUUGAACGUUUGAUCUCAAAUCAGGUAGGACUACCCGCUGAACUUAAGCAUAUCAAUAAGCGGAGGA